GAUGGAAAAUCAAUAAGAAAUUGCAAGGCAUAAAUUCUUGAGAGACCAUGUCAAUUUUCCUGUUGCAUAAUGGGUUUCAUGUAUGUUCAUGACUGGAAUUUUAGAGCAUUGCUUACAUCCCCUUACAAGGAUAAGCAAGAAUAUUGGGUUAAAUUCAGGAAUUCAAGUAUGGUUUUUUAAACUUCCUAUGACAAGUUGUAUCUGUCUUUGGCAUUGAGUCUGUUUUGUUUGCCUGAGCUUUAGGCUUAAAAUAUAGGUAUAUGUGGAGGGUAAAUUAUGUGGAAGACUAUAUAUGAUAAUUAUUAUAGACCAAGAUAAAAUUCAUGGAAAGAACAUUAAAAAUUUGAGACAAAGAAAACACUGUGUAGACUUGAUAUUAUAUAUAUAACAGAAUUGGACCCAUAAUUUAUGUACCAAUUGCUUAAACAUAAUGAAUCUCUAGGCCUAGUUGAUAGCUUUAGUAUUGGGAAAUCACUUGACUUAUGAUAGAGAUGGUUGCCUUUAACAUAUCACGUGAGAUUUUGCUUGGAUUAUAGAACAUUAACUAAUUAUACUUCCCACAAUAAUAAUACUAUAACAAUAAUUGAAGAUGAGUUCGUGACAUUACUAAUGGCUAAUAUUAUAACUUGAAAGUAAUUGUUAAUUCCUCAAUAUAAUUCAAAUAGCAUUUUCAUUAUAAUUAGUUCAAGAUGCACUACAUAUCUAAAGAUUCUGGGUCUUGAUUUAAGACUUGCAAGUAUCCUUUCUAUGCUUUUCUUUUCUUGUUGUUGAUGUUAGACUGUUAAGAGUAAGUAUUGCGGCAAAUUUCUAUUCUUGUGUGCUCUGUUUUUGUCUCUUUCCAUAUAUAUAGUUUUAUAUGGGAAAUGUUUGCCUAGUGCUCAUUAUAUAUAUAUAUAUAUAUACA
rnacentral:misc_RNA from 1 species